GGUAACGCCAGGCGGGGAGCGGGGGUAGUAAGGGGGAGGGUGAGUGUGUUCGGAUAUACUGGGCGUAAAGCGCACGUAGGGGGCGUGGUAAGUGAGGGGUGAAAUCCCGGAGCUCAACUCCGGAACUGCCCUUGAAACUGCAAUGCUAGAAGCUUGGAGAGGCGAGUGGAAUUCCGAGUGUAGAGGGGAAAUUCGUAGAUAUUCGGAAGAACACCAGUGGCGAAGGCGACUCGCUGGACAAGUAUUGACGCUGAGGUGCGAAAGCGUGGGGAGCAAACAGGAUUAGAUACCCUUGUAGUC
rnacentral:rRNA from 1 species